rnacentral:rRNA from 1 species
CGUUAGCGGCGGACGGGUGAGUAACACGUGGGUAACCUACCUAUAAGACUGGGAUAACUUCGGGAAACCGGAGCUAAUACCGGAUAAUAUUUCGAACCGCAUGGUUCGAUAGUGAAAGAUGGUUUUGCUAUCACUUAUAGAUGGACCCGCGCCGUAUUAGCUAGUUGGUAAGGUAACGGCUUACCAAGGCGACGAUACGUAGCCGACCUGAGAGGGUGAUCGGCCNCACUGGAGCUGAGACACGGUCCAGACUCCUACGGGAGGCAGCAGGC